CCUACGGGAGGCAGCAGUGAGGAAUAUUGGUCAAUGGACGCAAGUCUGAACCAGCCAUGCCGCGUGCAGGAAGACGGCUCUAUGAGUUGUAAACUGCUUUUGUACGAGGGUAAACGCAGAUACGCGUAUCUGUCUGAAAGUAUCGUACGAAUAAGGAUCGGCUAACUCCGUGCCAGCAGCCGCGGUAAUACGGAGGAUUCAAGCGUUAUCCGGAUUUAUUGGGGUUAAAGGGUGCGUAGGCGGUCGUAUAAGUUAGAGGUGAAAUCCCGAGGCUCAACUUCGGAAUUGCCGCUGAUACUGUUCGGCUAGAGAGUAGUUGCGGUAGGCGGAAUGUAUGGUGUAGCUGUGAAAUGCUUAGAGAUCAUACAGAACACCGAUUGCGAAGGCAGCUUACCAAGCUACUUCUGACGUUGAGGCACGAAAGCGUGGGGAGCAAACAGGAUUAGAUACCCUUGUAGUC
rnacentral:rRNA from 1 species